rnacentral:rRNA from 1 species
UACGGAGGGUGCAAGCGUUAUCCGGAUUCACUGGGUUUAAAGGGUGCGUAGGCGGGUAUGUAAGUCAGUGGUGAAAUCCCCGAGCUUAACUCGGGAACUGCCAUUGAUACUAUAUAUCUUGAAUAUUCUGAGGUAUGCGGAAUAUGUCAUGUAGCGGUGAAAUGCUUAGAGAUGACAUAGAACACCUAUUGCGAAGGCAGCAUACUACGGAAAGAUUGACGCUGAGGCACGAAAGUGUGGGGAUCAAACAGG